ensembl:lncRNA
GCUUGCACAGCAGGGAAAGGCAGAGCAUUAAUGAGAGUAUCAUUUGUUCGGUCACUUCUGCAUUGUGAGCAGCAGCUCUGAAGCACUUCUCAAAGUUUUGUUGCAGAAUAAUACUGACUGACUUCCAGCCUAUGCAAGAUGUAAGCCUGGAAGCAGCAAGGAUAUAUUUACUUUUGCAGGAGCAAGAAGUUACAUGAAAAGAUGGAGACAAAGGGCUGUGAUCCAUGACAGUUAAGUUAGAAGAAAUCUUUCUCCGCUGGUUUGGAUUAGAGCUGUAGUAGCUCGCACGGUGGAUCUGUCCUGACUUUUUUUUUUUUCAGUGAGCGAAGUUUGUACUGUGGUGGGAAGGCAGAAGAAAAGUUGCAAGGACUUAGCACUCACAGACAAGAGCUUCUAUCAGCAGGGCAAAGGGAUUGCCCUGAGCAGAGCAGCAAGUGCUGAACCUUGAGGCACUGAUUGGCCUUAGUGGCCCUGACCAGCCCCACCUGGGCCCAGGGCUGCUAUUUAACAGUCCCAGCACCACCCCCCUCAUGCUGCUCCCACCAGCAGGACAAAGAAGCAGCUUCAGGGCUAUCUCUACAGUGCCUUAGAAGAGUGAGCUGCUACAGGAUGAAAAAGAGUGGCUCCAGGUGCUGGAAGCCGAGCAAUGUCCUGGGUCUCUCAGCGGCUCCUCCUUGUCGAGGUCAGACACAAGCCAGCUUCUGGAACAGUACAAGGGCUACCUGGUCGCAAAACUCUGGGAACCUAGAGACUUCAAUGAGGAGGUGUAUCUACAUGCUUGUCUGGUCUUGUGUGAGGACUGGUGCCACUGGUGUAGCAGCAGAAACAGAUAAAGGUGGAUGUGAAAAGAGGAAGGGAUUCACAAUGCACUUCAGACUCAGGUUGGAAAGUUUUAUACUCUUCAGUUUUCUUUUUGGCUUCCAUCCAGAGCUGUUCCAGUUUGUAAGUCACUUACAAGAAAGAGAUGGAAGAAUGUUUUUCCACUCUCUGCUCCAAAUAACAGAAUUUACAGAUCUUUUCUGUUAGAAAAUAAGUAAUAAUAAAAUUCUAGGUAUUUAAACA